CCGUCGAAGUGGGAAGGUGGCUUCCUCCUCUUCCUACUCCCCCCCCCUCACCCCGCCCCAACCCUCUCAGACUAGACAACGGCCAACCCCACAUUCGCCCACUACCGCGGGGGUGGAACUUUAAGAGGGAGAUGGGAGAGCAAGAAGAGGAAAGAGCUGCCCCUCAACGUAGGAGAGUUGGGGGUACGAGAACGAUCUGCGAACUUGGGGCUCUUGACGAUGGACUGCGGCCAUUCGGGGCAGAACUUCUAGCCAACUGGUCUCUCAGCAGGAACCCAUUUGAAUGUCAAAUGAACAGGCUGGUCUGCAAGGAUGACCAAAAAAAGAAAACAAGUCAGUGUUGGAAUAGCUAUGAAAGACAGAUACAACCAUACACUUAAGUGAACCCCAGCUAAUGUGUUCAAGAGAUGCAGCAGAUGGGCAGCAGGCUCGGCUUCUAUCAUGGGUGGGUCCCCACCACAGAAGAGAGUCCUCCAGAGGUAGGGCAAAAAGCUGGAGCCGGAGAGAAACAUGGUUUUAAGCUACUCACUAUCUUUACUCAAAGACUUUUCCCAAAGAAGAUAAACAAUUCUAUUCUCCAUAGUGGUCAGCAAAAAAUGUACAAUUUAAAUUAA